AGAGUUUGAUCCUGGCUCAGGAUGAACGCUGGACGGCGUGCCUAAUACAUGCAAGUCGAACGGCAGCAGCAAUGCUGUAGUGGCGAACGGGUGAGUAACACGUUGGUGACCUGCCCCAAAGAUGGGAAUAUCACCUGGAAAACGGGUGGCAAAACCGAAUAAGCUUGGCUGAGUUAGAGAAGGUCAAGUAAAAGUGCAAACUACUUUGGGAGGGGCCUGCGGCCCAUCAGUUAGUUGGUGAGGGUAACGGCCCACCAAGACGAAGACGGGUAGGGGACCUGAGAGGGUGGUCCCCCACAAUGGAACUGAAACACGGUCCAAACUCCUACGGGAGGCAGCAGUGGGGAAUAUUGGGCAAUGGGCGAAAGCCUGACCCAGCAACGCCGCGUGAGGGAAGAAGGUUUUCGGAUUGUAAACCUCUGUCCUCAGGGACGAAGGAAGUGACGGUACCUGAGGAGGAAGCCCCGGCUAACUACGUGCC
rnacentral:rRNA from 1 species